UACAGAGGGGGCAAGCGUUGUUCGGAGUUACUGGGCGUAAAGAGUAUGUAGGCGGUUGGGCAAGUUUGGUGUGAAAUCUCCCGGCUUAACUGGGAGGGUGCGCUAAAGACUGCCUGGCUCGAGUGUGGGAGAGGAAAGCGGAAUUCCUGGUGUAGCGGUGAAAUGCGUAGAUAUCAGGAGGAACACCUGCGGUGUAGACGGCUUUCUGGACCAUAACUGACGCUGAGAUACGAAAGCGUGGGUAGCAAACAGG
rnacentral:rRNA from 1 species